UACGUAGGGGUCUAGCGUUGUCCGGAAUCAUUGGGCGUAAAGAGCUCGUAGGCGGUUCGGCAAGUCACGUGUGAAAUCUCCACGCUUAACGUGGAGGCGCCACGUGAAACUGCCGUGACUCGAGUCCGGUAGGGGAGUGUGGAAUUCCCGGUGUAGCGGUGAAAUGCGCAGAUAUCGGGAGGAACACCAGUAGCGAAGGCGGCACUCUGGGCCGGUACUGACGCUGAGGAGCGAAAGCGUGGGGAGCGAACAGG
rnacentral:rRNA from 1 species